AUGAGGCGCAUGCCUAAUGUCAAGAAACUGGAGAUUGAGGAGGGCGCCAUUCCAUGCGUUGAUGAGAUCUACAUCAUGUCACUCUCGGAGCUGAGUAUGGUCCCUCAUGGCAUCGAGUCGCUUGGGUCUCUCAAGAAGCUCUGGAUGCUGUACCUGCACAAGGACUUCAAGGCUGACUGGGGUCUGAACCAGAUGCACAACAAGAUGAAGCAUGUUCCAGAGCUCCGUGCCUAG
rnacentral:rRNA from 1 species